UACGGAGGGGGCUAGCGUUGUUCGGAAUUACUGGGCGUAAAGCGUACGUAGGCGGGUUUGUAAGUUAGAGGUGAAAGACCGGAGCUCAACUUCGGAAGUGCCUUUAAGACUGCAUUACUUGAACGUCGGAGAGGUGAGUGGAAUUCCGAGUGUAGAGGUGAAAUUCGUAGAUAUUCGGAAGAACACCAGUGGCGAAGGCGGCUCACUGGACGACUGUUGACGCUGAGGUACGAAAGUGUGGGGAGCAAACAGG
rnacentral:rRNA from 1 species